rnacentral:rRNA from 14 species
ACAUUUCCCAAGUUAUUGCCUUGAAUGAACCUAAUCUAGUCUGAUCUCAGAUGCUAACUAGGGUCAGGCCUGUGGGUGCUUGGAUGGGAUAUGUU